GCUGGGCGUGGUGGCGGGCGCCUGUAAUCCCAGCUACUCAGGAGGCUGAGGCAGGAGAAUAGUGUGAACCUGGGAGGUGGAGCUUGCAGUGAGCAGACAUUGUGCCACUGCACUCCAGCCUGGGUGACAGGGUGAGACUCUGUAAAAAACAAAAACAAAAACAAAAAAAACUGUUUAGUGUAUCUUUAAUUUUGAAUUAUUAAUCUUAUUAUUUUUUUUUUGAGAUGGAGUCUUGCUCUGUCGCCUAGGCUGGAGUGCAGUGGUGCAAUCUUGGCUCACUGCAAGCUCUGCCUCCCGGGUUCACACCAUUCUCCUGCCUCAG
rnacentral:SRP_RNA from 1 species